rnacentral:rRNA from 1 species
GAUGAACGCUGGCGGCGUGCCUAAUACAUGCAAGUCGAGCGAACAGACGAGGAGCUUGCUCCUCUGACGUUAGCGGCGGACGGGUGAGUAACACGUGGAUAACCUACCUAUAAGACUGGGAUAACUUCGGGAAACCGGAGCUAAUACCGGAUAAUAUAUUGAACCGCAUGGUUCAAUAGUGAAAGACGGUUUUGCUGUCACUUUUAGAUGGAUCCGCGCCGCAUUAGCUAGUUGGUAAGGUAACGGCUUACCAAGGCGACGAUGCGUAGCCGACCUGAGGGGGUGAUCGGCCACACUGGAACUGAGACACGGUCCAGACGCCUACGGGAGGCAGCAGUAGGGAAUCUGCCGCAAUGGGCGAAAGCCUGACGGAGCAACGCCGCGUGAGUGAUGAAGGUCUUCGGAUCGUAAAACUCUGUUAUUAGGGAAGAACAAAUGUGUAAGUAACUAUGCACGUCUUGACGGUACCUAAUCAGAAAGCCACGGCUAACUACGUG